rnacentral:lncRNA from 1 species
AGGCGGGGCUGAGGCCCGCAGAGCUGCCUGGUGCCGCUGCCUUCUUUUGUCUCUACCCAUAUGUUGGGCACACAGUGGUACAGCCAGGGACGGCCGGCGGGGUGGGGGGGGAAAUGCCGGUGCCUCUCGCACAUGCGCCGACGGGUCCCUGACGCGGAAGUCUGUUGGAGGGAGCGGGUCCCGGGGCCGAGCCGGGCCCGUCCCGGGCUGCCGCUCCCGCUGUGCCGGGACCUGCUUCGCCGAGGAGGGCUAUUCAAUAUCUUUCACUUGUCCUGGUUGCUGCCAGCGCAGUGUGCCGGGGCCAGGCCGGUUGUGCGCGCUCGGGAGCUCUCCCUGGAGGCCGGGCGGCUCUGGGGGGCUCCGGUGCGGUGCAGGCUUGUAGAUGUUCGUCCUCGGUUCCCUCAGUGCGAACAAAAGCCGUGUACGUGUUUGACGUACUCAGGGUUCUCCUGGCCUGCGGUGAACACCAGCAGCUGCGUGAGGACGCGAGGCUGUGGGCUGGCCGCAGCCGGGAGAAGGCAGGCCGCGCCGGCCCCGUUCUCUGGGACCUGCAAGAGUCUGGGGUUACCUGGCUCCCAACUGCAACUCUCUGCCUUCUCAGGAGUGUCUGUGGCUGCAAACCACCAUGUGCACUGA